rnacentral:rRNA from 1 species
ACGACCAUACCACGACUAAUACACCCGAUCCCUGCCGAACUCGGAAGUUAAGCGUCGUUGGGACUCGUUAGUACUGCGGUGGGGGACCACGCGGGAACACGGCGUUGUUGUAUCCA